UUGCCAUCAAGAGGUUAUUCGACUCACAAUUCUCUGAAGGACACUUUAUGUCCGAGUUUGCAAGAUGUAGUUGAUGACUCUCUGAUCGGGUUGGGAUUCAAUGGUGAGAUCUUUGAGUUCAUGAAUAUUGCAUGCAAAUGCAUUCAGUCGGUGCUAGAGCAGAAGCCAACAAUGCUGGAAGUGUACCAAACAAUGAGGGCCACUGGGGAGAAACAUGGCCUUGUGGACGAUUCUGAGAUGUGGAAAGAAACAAAAAUUGCUACUGCCAGUGCUAGUGAGGGAGAUGUUGAAAUAAUAGGGUAGAUGAAAUAGGCUGGACAAGCCAAAUUCGAUGGGAAACAUUGUGUGAUUUACUUAAUUUUUAAUGCAAUAUUAUCAUCAUUAUUAGGAGCA